rnacentral:rRNA from 1 species
UACGUAGGGGGCAAGCGUUGUCCGGAUUUACUGGGCGUAAAGAGCGCGUAGGCGGAGAGUUAAGCGUGCCUUGAAAGCCCCCGGCUCAACCGGGGAAGGUGGGUGCGAACUGGCUUUCUUGAGGGCGAUAGAGGGGGGCGGAAUUCCAGGUGUAGCGGUGGAAUGCGUAGAGAUCUCCAAGAACACCCGUUGCGAAGGCGGCUAGCUGGGUUCACAUUGACGCUGAGGCUCGAAAGCGUGGGGAGCAAACAGG